UGAACGCUGGCGGUAGGCCUAACACAUGCACGUCGAACGGCAGCACAGUAAGAGCUUGCUCUUACGGGUGGCGAGUGGCGGACGGGUGAGGAAUACAUCGGAAUCUACUUUUUCGUGGGGGAUAACGUAGGGAAACUUACGCUAAUACCGCAUACGACCUACGGGUGAAAGCAGGGGAUCUUCGGACCUUGCGCGAUUGAAUGAGCCGAUGUCGGAUUAGCUAGUUGGCGGGGUAAAGGCCCACCAAGGCGACGAUCCGUAGCUGGUCUGAGAGGAUGAUCAGCCACACUGGAACUGAGACACGGUCCAGACUCCUACGGGAGGCAGCAGUGGGGAAUAUUGGACAAUGGGCGAAAGCCUGAUCCAGCCAUACCGCGUGGGUGAAGAAGGCCUUCGGGUUGUAAAGCCCUUUUGUUGGGAAAGAAAAGCAGCAGGUUAAUACCCCGCUGUUCUGACGGUACCCAAAGAAUAAGCACCGGCUAACUUCGUG
rnacentral:rRNA from 1 species